rnacentral:rRNA from 1 species
ACGAACGCUGGCGGCAUGCCUAACUCCUGCCAGUCGAACGAGACCUUCGGGUCUAGUGGCGCACGGGUGCGUAACGCGUGGGAACCUGCCCUUAGGUUCGGAAUAACUCCCCGAAAGGGGUGCUAAUACCGGAUAAUGUCUUCGGACCAAAGAUUUAUCGCCUUUGGAUGGGCCCGCGUUGGAUUAGCUAGUUGGUAGGGUAAAAGCCUACCAAGGCGACGAUCCAUAGCUGGUCUGAGAGGAUGAUCAGCCACACUGGGACUGAGACACGGCCCAGACUCCUACGGGAGGCAGCAGUGGGGAAUAUUGGACAAUGGGCGAAAGCCUGAUCCAGCAAUGCCGCGUGAGUGAUGAAGGCCUUAGGGUUGUAAAGCUCUUUUACCCGGGAUGAUAAUGACAGUACCGGGAGAAUAAGCUCCGGCUAACUCCGUG